CUCGCCACCACCCACCUCCACCGCCGCCCUCACUCUCCCCUCGUCUCCCUCGCCCUCGACCAACCUCGCCGCCGUGUAGGGGCUGGCUUGUUGCCGCGUGCUGUUCCUGCGGGUUGUCGCUGCGGGGGCCGGCUCCCAUGAUUCGAUCCAACCCUCUCCCCCGAUCCCACCUGCCAGCGGUGACCUCCUCUCAACCAGCCCUGCCGCCGGCCUCCAGAUCCAACCCAGCAGCUGCCAGCUCAUGCCUAACCCCUACCCCGCGGCCAUGGCCGUGGCCCUGCCGCUAGGGUUUCUCACCCAGCCUUCCCUCGCCGUCACCCGUGCAGGAGGAAGGAGCCCAAGUCUCCAAUGGCCAUGAGCGACGGCAAGGACACCCUCGACCUCUCCGCCCUCAGUGUCGCCGUCCCCAAUGCCACAAGUUCGUUCGCCGCUCCCGCUCCCCCCUUGCUAUUGUUGCCGUUGAUGGGGCAUGAGGUAUUAUUGGUUUCGCUGGUGGUGGUUUCUAUGCAGAGCUCAGCGCGUGGACUCCUGAGCUCAGCACCGAGAGCUCAGGCCAACCUGGUGGAGUCGAUUAAGAACACGCUGCAAGGAUUAGCGGUGUGGCACCUGGACAUGCUCGAGAGCCUGUAGCCCAAGGUCAGGAAGCGUGUCGAGGCGCUCAAAGAGAUCCAGCAAAGCUUGUGAUCCUUGCUAACAACUGCCUCCGCUCCGCAAGUCUGAGAUUGAGUACUACGCUAUGUUGGCGAAGGUCACUGUCCACCACUACCAUGGAAACAAUGUUGAUAUGGGAACUGCGUGUGCUAAAUACUUCCAAGUCUGCUGCCUGAGUAUCAUUGACCCUGGUAUCUAGCACCACAUUUCUCAUUGUGUUACCUGGUUCAUACUUUG